CCCUUAGACGUUCUGGGCCGCACGCGCGCUACACUGACACAGGCAACGAGCUUUCCUUUACCGAAAGGUAUGGGUAAUCUUUUGAAACUGUGUCGUGCUGGGGAUAGAUCCUUGCAAUUUUUGAUCUUAAACGAGGAAUUCCUAGUAAGCGCGAGUCAUCAACUCGCGUUGAUUACGUCCCUGCCCUUUGUACACACCGCCCGUCGCUACUACCGAUUGAAUGGCUUAGUGAGGCCUCAGGAUCCGCGCUUAAUGUGUGGAGAAUUUGGACAAACUACGUCAUUUAGAGGAAGUAAAAGCCGUAACA
rnacentral:rRNA from 1 species